UACGGGGGGGGCAAGCGUUGUUCGGAAUUACUGGGCGUAAAGGGCUCGUAGGCGGCCAACUAAGUCGGACGUGAAAUCCCCAGGCUCAACCUGGGAACUGCGUCUGAUACUGGAUGGCUUGAAUCCGGGAGAGGGAUGCGGAAUUCCAGGUGUAGCGGUGAAAUGCGUAGAUAUCUGGAGGAACACCGGUGGCGAAGGCGGCAUCCUGGACCGGUAUUGACGCUGAGGCGCGAAAGCCAGGGGAGCAAACGGGG
rnacentral:rRNA from 1 species